AAAAAGAUAUUAUUAUUUUUCCUUACCAUAAACAAAAGCUGUUUUUCUUCUCUGAUUUAUAAAUAAACUGCAAACAAUAUUCUGAAAUGUUACAUUCAAUUUACUGUGCUCUUACUUGCUCAAUAAGGACCCAAGAACAUUAAUAAUUUUAAUUAAUAACAACUCUCUUCUCUCAAUUUACAAACUUUAACCUCCAGUACAUUGUAAAAUCAUGGCAUUUGAAAAUCUGAGGAUUACAACCAAGCAUCACUGCUAAAAUGUCCAGAUUAACCAAUCUAAGCUGUGGAGUGGAAAGAAGUUAAUAUUUCUAGUAUUUUUUGACAAAUUUUUAUUAAGAAAAUUUAUCAGUCUUAUUCUAGAAGAAUAAAUUAGUUAAAAUCUUCAAACUUGGGCAAAAUUCUUACCUAAAUUCAAAUUUACAAAAAUAAAAUGUCAAACUUGGUUAAAAUUCUUAUGGUAGUUUCAAGUAUGUAAUGCCUUUAAGGACUUAGUACUACUACAAAAAAAACUGAUUGCCUUGUAUUAAAAAAUUCUAUUUUCUUUUAAGAAAUUUCAAUUCCCACCAUUCAAGAAAUAUAUUUUUACAUUGAAAUAAGGUUUUAUAUUGUACUAAAAUUCCAUAUGGAAUUUAUUUUUUUUUAUUUGUUUAAUUAGCAUGGUCACUGGAAGACAGUUAACGUAGUUUUCAAAUAUUUAACUAACCCCUUGGUUGUUAACAGCUCACUGCCUUCCAGCGGCCGUUCUGGUUCUGUCCUAACCAACCACUAAUGAUUUUGCUUUCUUCCUGAGGUUGACGGAAACUUAAGUCAGUUACGAAGGAGAUUUCAAUCACGAAGGGUCUCGUAACUCAGAUACUCUGAGCUCUAUUGACUAUAUAAGGAUAUACAGCUAUAUCUUUGAAGUGACGACGACUAUUCCUUUCGACAUGUAAUCGCCGUUUAAACCCAGCCAGGAAGAAGCAUUCCUUCAUCGCAGUCUCUCACUCUACACGUACUUCGCCUUCGUCCCAGGAUGAUAUCGGUAUUUUGGAAGUGGCUGAAUUACUGCGGCUCCCCCAAGCUUCACGAUGAUCAACUUUGUGUAUUAGCUGCCGCAUCAGCACCUGGAUGAUAGGACAGUUUUCAAUUACAAUAAAUUACUUAAUUU